UGUGCAAUUGCUGGGUCAUAUGGUAAGAGCAUGUUCAGUUUUUGUAAGAAUUCGCCAAACUGUCUUCCAGAGUCACUACCAUUUGCAUCCCCACUAGCAAU
rnacentral:pre_miRNA from 1 species